rnacentral:rRNA from 1 species
AGCUCCAAUAGCGUAUAUUAAAGUUGUUGCAGUUAAAAAGCUCGUAGUUGAACUUUGGGUCUGCUUGGCCGGUCCGAUUUUUUCGUGUACUGGAUUUCCAAGCGGACCUUUCCUUCUGGCUAACCUUGAGUCCUUGUGGCUCUUGGCGAACCAGGAUUUUUACUUUGAAAAAAUUAGAGUGUUCAAAGCAGGCGUAUUGCUCGAAUAUAUUAGCACGGAAUAAUAGAAUAGGACGUUUGGUUCUAUUUUGUUGGUUUCUAGGACCAUCGUAAUGAUUAAUAGGGACGGUCGGGGGCAUCAGUAUUCAAUUGUCAGAGGU